rnacentral:lncRNA from 1 species
CUAUUAUGCGUUUAUUAUUUGGUGAAAUUAAUUUCACUGGAUGACACUUCAACUUGUACAAAAUGUGUUUUUACCAGGGAUUGAACUCAGGACUUUGCGUUUAUGAGGCCGGUGCAGAGCCACAGAGCUAAAUCUCCAGUCCUGGACCGAAUGUUUUCAACCAGAGGAGUCCAAAGGAGUCGUGGAGAGGGGAGAAGGAGAAGACUGAAAAAUAGGCGUGGGCCAGAGCUGCAUCAGGAAGCCAUCCACCCAAGGGUCAACAUUUGGGCAGGUGUUAAAGGGGAGCAAGACAGCUCCUGGCACCUGCACAGAGCAAAAUGCAGCACGAAUGGGCAGGUAGGGCCUGGCAGGAAAAGAGAGGAGAUCACUAAAAAUGACAGUGAGUCUUGAAUCUGGUAGCCAGAGAGGGGAAAAUGAAGAAAAUGAAAAAAAAAUGAAUACAACACAAUCACAGCAAAAAUACUGUUAGUAUUUAAUUAUUACUGUGGUAGUCUAUUAAAUGUAAUGACCCACCUCUCUGUAAGUUCUCCAAGCGUAAACAACAAAGACAGGGAAACAGGUUAAAAAGGACACUACCCAAGUCGCUCAUCUAUGUUCCCAGCAACACAUUGGUGCUCUUUGUUAAUGGUUUAAAAUAGAGCUUUGGAGGAUGUGAUUGAAAUCUUCCUCCUUGACUUUGAGCCUCAAGGUGCCUCCGUGUAGAAGAGCAUCAAGUACUGCAGAGUCCCAAACAAAUGAGGCACACACAGCUCUACACUCCCAUUUCACUCACUGUAAUAAAAAUACUUCAGUGUGCUUUGUUCCAGGUGAUAAUGUGUUGCGAUGUUACAUUACGUCAAAUAAAUCGAUGAAAACAAA